rnacentral:rRNA from 1 species
UACGUAGGGUGCAAGCGUUGUCCGGAAUUAUUGGGCGUAAAGGGCGCGUAGGCGGCCUUCUAAGUCGAACGUGAAAUCCCCGGGCUCAACCCGGGAACUGCGUCCGAUACUGGAAGGCUUGAAUCCGGGAGAGGGAUGUGGAAUUCCAGGUGUAGCGGUGAAAUGCGUAGAUAUCUGGAGGAACACCGGUGGCGAAGGCGACAUCCUGGACCGGUAUUGACGCUGAGGCGCGAAAGCCAGGGGAGCAAACGGG